rnacentral:lncRNA from 1 species
UUUAAAAAAAAAAAUAAAAAAAGUAUAUAAAUGUAUCAAAGAUGAAAUGUAUCAUCCUUAUGUAGGUGAUUAUAUUAGUUGGGAAAAAAUAAUAAAACUUGAAAAAUUAUUAACUGAAAAAUUAAUACAUAAAAAUAUAAUUAGCAUGCAAUCCUAUUUUAAAAGAAACAAUAAAAUUCUUAGUUUUUAUAAUUAUGGUGGAAAAGCAUUAAUGAAAUGGGAUUGUAAAAAUAACAAUUUCCGAUUACCAAACGUAUGGAUAAAAAAUAAUAACAAUAUAUAUGAAAAAAAAGUAGAAAGAAAAAUAAUAAAAAAAGGACGAUCGAUUACCAACAAUACGUCUAUUUUAAUUUAUUCUCCUAUAACUGAUAAUUGCAAAAAAGAAAAUAGCAUCAAUCUUAUAAAUAAGAAUACAUAUUGUAUAAUGACACAAAACGGAGGUCACAUAAAUCUGAGUAAAGGAACGAAUUAUGAAUAUAAAACAGGUGAGCAAAAAAAAAAUAUAUUACCACUACUAGAAUCACCACCAAUACCACCAUCGCCAACCAUGACGACUCUACCCAAUCGAGAUAAUAACCCUUUUAAAAAAAAAAGCCAGUGCAAAAACAAAAAAAAACUUAUGUAUUACUACAAAAAAUACAUAAAAAUAGUAAAACAAAACAAAAUGAGAAAUAUAAAAAAAAGGCAGCUAACAAAAAAAAACAAAAAAAACAGUUAUAACAAAAAAGAAAAUCAAAGCGCAAAAGUUUGCUAUGUAUACCCAGAAUAUUUAAUUGCUGAUAUAUUAAGGCAACUAAUACAAAUAUGUUUUUAUUUAUAUAAAAAUAAUAUUUAUCAUAGCGAUAUUAAACCAUCAAAUAUUGUAGUAAAAAAUAUAAAAAAAAAAAAUUUAAAUAAAGUUUCAUUUUGUAAAAAGAAUAACAAAUGGUAUAUAAAAAAAUAUGGUAAAAUAAUAAAAAAAUAUAUAUUUAUCAAAUUAAUUGAUUUCGAAUAUGUACAAAAACAUUAUCAAGGUAUAGCAAAUGUUGGUGGCACAACUUCAUUAUUUAAGUCUUUGGAAGAAUUCGAAAAUUCAAAAAUAAAUGUUUUUCCUAAAACCGUUUGGGUUAUAGGUAUAACAUUAUUCAUCUUAGCAACUGCUGUGCAUCCUUUCACUUCAAUAACAAAUGACAUGCAUAUAUAUUUUAUGUUUCAAAAUAAUAAUUUAAAUAUACAGGAAAAAAUAAAUAGUUAUACAUAUCUUUCAGAUUCUUUUAAGGACUUACUACAAAAAAUGUUAAUUGUAAAUUACAAGGAAAGAAUACAAUUUAGGGAAAUGGUAUUGCACCCGUAUGUCCUUUUUGGUUAAAAAAAAAAAAAAAAAAAAAAAAAAAAAAAACGAUGCGCUCUUAGGUGCAUGUAUUUAUAUAGACACAUACACUAAAUGUUUUAAAGUAUUCGUAAAUUAUGAAACAAAAUAUUGACAUCAAGUUGUGUACACGGCAUAGAAUAAUGCGUAUAUAAACAAAACAACAAAAAAAAAAAUAUAUAUAUAUAACAUUUUUUUUUUUUUUUUUUUUUUUUUUUUUUUUCACUUCUUUCCGUAAUAGUAUGGACUUUUCAUUUUUUUAGCUAGCCAUAUUAGCUAUUGUGUUUAGUCACAUACUUUGAAUGAUUUAUCUGACCAUUUGUUUAUAUGACUGCUUGUUUAUCUGACUAUUUGUUUAUUUGCAUGUUUAUUUAUUUUCCCCUAACUUUUUUCUUGUUCGUGUGUUCUUGAUAAAAUAAAUUAUAAUUAUUCUUAUAAACUCUAUCUUCC